UGUCUCCCAGCCCAAGGUGCAGUGCUGCAUCUCUGGUCAGUUGUGAGUCUGAGAUGAAGCACUGUAGCUCGGGAAGGGGGAAU
ensembl:miRNA xtr-mir-143 xtr-mir-143